GUUCGUCUACGGCAUGCAGCUCCCAGAAGUCUCCGGGGACCACUAGGUUCAGGAGACUUGGCGAGAAAUCCAGGUCCAGGCAGGCUCACCCUCCUCUGCGGACACUGUGGUGCAACACUGAUCUGUCACACCCUCACCAGGACACGGAAACAUGAUGAUCAACCACGUACGAUCGAAUGGAGAUUGAGCAGCGUGUGUCCAGCCUGAAGCUGCCCCUCGCAUGGAGGCUCCGGCACCGAGGCGCGCUCGCCGCCCUACUCCAAGUCUCCAUUAAUAUUUAAGUGGGAUCAGGGCUGCGGACGCUGGCUCUGUUUCAUCCCUUUUCACUUCACCUCCGCUCAACUCUGAGUUCUGUCUUAAGGAAAGGAGCUGCCGUGUCGGACAGCGACUGCCAGGCACUGAGAGGAGGCUCUUAACCUCGCAUGGGCACCCCACCCCAGCUCAGUGUGCGCAUGCGUCGGGGCACUCGGAGGCAUUUAGUUGCCUGCACGUUUUGCAAACAUUUGGAUGUUUGUUCGAGGACGCCACUGAACUGCACGUUCCCAGUGAGUUCCUGUAUUAGUUAUUCUUCUGCUGCUGUGGUAAAACACCAUGACCUAAAUAAAGCAUGAAGGAAGAAAGGG